GGCCGCCGGAGCCGGGAGAAGGCAUCGGCGAGGUCUGCGGGCGGCAUGGCUGGAGCUCCGGACGAGCAGGGGCGGGGCCCCCUGGCGGGAGAGCAGCUGGGGCAGCAAGACGUAACGUGCCAGGUUUUCCCUGAGCAGCUGGCCGUUCGGAAGCCCCAGCAAGGGUUCUUCCCCGUCCUCACCAACAACCAGAAGUGCCAGCUCAUGCUCCUGAAGACGCUGGAGACGAAUCCAUAUGUCAAACUCCUGCUUGAUGCUAUGAAGCACUCGGGUUGCGCUGUUAACAAAGAAAGACACUUUUCUUGUGAAGAUUGUAACGGAAAUGUCAGUGGAGGUUUUGAUGCUUCAGCAUGUCAGAUUGUUUUGUGCCAGAAUAACAUCCGUAAUCAGACCCACAUGAACAGAGUGGUCACCCACGAGCUCAUUCACGCAUUUGAUCAUUGUCGUGCUCAUGUUGACUGGUUCACCAGUGUCAGACAUCUGGCCUGCUCAGAGGUUCGAGCUGCUAACCUUAGUGGAGACUGCUCACUUGUAAAUGAAAUAUUCAGGUUACAUUUUGGAUUAAAACAACACUAUCAGACUUGUGUGCGAGACAGAGCCAUUCUUUCUAUCCUGGCUGUUAGGAAUAUCAGUAAAGAAGUAGCUCAGAAGGCUGUUGAUGAAGUUUUUGAAUCUUGUUUCAAUGACCAUGAACCUUUUGGAAGGAUCCCACAUAACAAGACUUAUGCAAGAUAUUCUCAUAAAGACUUUCAAAACCGUGAUCGGUAUUACUCAAAUAUAUGAAGACAAUGAUAUUUUAUAUUACAGAGCUUCAAUGAUCAUUUAGAAAAAAAUAUGGUUCCCAAGUGAACAAGGAUAUAAAAUGUAAAUGAUCAAUUAAACACAGAUAAAACAUGGAAUGUGCUAAUUUUGGAAUAUAAUCAGAAAAAGUAACUGUGGCAAAAAUGAAACUGCCUUAAACUCCAAGGCAAAAUUGUAUCUUUAUAGCUAACCAUUUGGUAAAUAAAUAAAUUACGUUUUUGUAUUUUCUACAGUA